rnacentral:rRNA from 1 species
UUCGGUUGAUCCUGCCGAAGGCUACUGCUAUUGGAGUUCGAUUAAGCCAUGCGAGUCUAAGGGGUACUUGUACCCCUGGCAUAAUGCUCAGUAACACGUGGAUAAUCUACCCUUAGGUGGGGCAUAAACCCGGGAAACUGGGGCUAAUACCCCAUAGAUACAGAACGCUGGAAUGCCUCUGUAUUCAAAGCUCCGGCGCCUAAGGAUGAGUCUGCGACCUAUCAGGUAGUAGUCAGGGUCACGACCUGACUAGCCAACGACGGGUACGGGGUGUGAGAGCACUUGCCCGGAGAUGGUUUCUGAGACAAGAAACCAGGCCCUACGGGGCGCAGCAGGCGCGAAAACUUCGCAAUGCGGGAAACCGUGACGAGGGAACUCCAAGUGUCUAUGCAAUGCAUAGACUGUUUUUCAGCCUAAAUAGCUGUUAGAGUAAGGGGUGGGUAAGACCGGUGCCAGCCGCCGCGGUAACACCGGCACCCCGAGUGGUAGCCACUAUUAUUGGGCCUAAAGCGUUCGUAGCCGGUUUAGUAAAUUCUUGGGUAAAUCGUACAGCUUAACUGUGCGGAUUCCGGGGACACUACUAGACUUGAGACCGGGAGAGAUUAGAGGUACUUGCAGGGGAGCGGUGAAAUGUUGUAAUCCUGCAGGGACCACCAGUGGCGAAGGCGUCUAAUCAUAACGGCUCUGACGGUGAGGAACGAAACCCUGGGGCGCAAACGGGAUUAGAUACCCCGGUAGUCCAGGGCGUAAACGCUGCUGACUUGGUGUUGGAGAUCCUACGAGGGUGUCCAGUGCUGGCGCGAAGGUAUUNAGUCAGCCGCCUGGGGAGUACGGUCGCAAGACUGAAACUUAAAGGAAUUGGCGGGGGAGCACUGCAACGUGUGGAGCGUGCGGUUUAAUUGGAUUCAACGCCGGAAAACUCACCGGGGGCGACGGUUACAUGAAGGCCAAGCUGAUGACUUUGCCUGAUUUUCCGAGAGGUGGUGCAUGGCCGCCGUCAGUUCGUACCGUAAGGCGUUCUGUUAAG